AUGAUUUGAUAGAUAAAGCUCCGGCGGUUAAAGAUGGGCAUGCGUGACAUUAGCUAGUUGGUGAGGUAACGGCUCACCAAGGCAACGAUGUCUAGGGGUUCUGAGAGGAUGAUCCCCCACACUGGUACUGAGACACGGACCAGACUCCUACGGGAGGCAGCAGUGAGGAAUAUUGGUCAAUGGGCGCAAGCCUGAACCAGCCAUCCCGCGUGCAGGAUGACGGCCCUAUGGGUUGUAAACUGCUUUUAUACACCAAGAAAAACUCCGACGUGUCGGAGCCCGACGGUAGUGUAUGAAUAAGCAUCGGCUAACUCCGUGCCAGCAGCCGCGGUAAUACGGAGGAUGCAAGCGUUAUCCGGAUUCAUUGGGUUUAAAGGGUGCGUAGGCGGCUUUUUAAGUCAGUGGUGAAAUCCUGUCGCUUAACGAUAGAAUUGCCAUUGAUACUGAUAAGCUUGAGUACAGUUGAGGUAAGCGGAAUGUGUAGUGUAGCGGUGAAAUGCUUAGAUAUUACACAGAACACCGAUUGCGAAGGCAGCUUACUAAACUGUUACUGACGCUGAUGCACGAAAGCGUGGGGAGCGAACAGGAUUAGAUACCCUGGUAGUCCACGCCGUAAACGAUGAUCACUCGCUGUAUGCGAUACACAGUAGCGGCCAAGCGAAAGCAUUAAGUGAUCCACCUGGGGAGUACGAUCGCAAGGUUGAAACUCAAGGAAUUGACGGGGGCCCGCACAAGCGGAGGAACAUGUGGUUUAAUUCGAUGAUACGCGAGGAACCUUACCUGGGCUUAAAUGGGGAACGACAGCUGCCGAAAGGUGGCCUUCUUCGGACGUUCUUCAAGGUGCUGCAUGGUUGUCGUCAGCUCGUGCCGUGAGGUGUCGGGUUAAGUCCCAUAACGAGCGCAACCCUUAUCGUUAGUUGCCAGCGGGUCAAGCCGGGGACUCUAGCGAGACUGCCACCGUAAGGUGUGAGGAAGGUGGGGAUGACGUCAAAUCAGCACGGCCCUUAUGUCCAGGGCUACACACGUGUUACAAUGGCCAAUACAAAGG
rnacentral:rRNA from 1 species